rnacentral:rRNA from 1 species
CGAAACCAGGUGAUCUACCCUUGGUCAGGUUGAAGUUCAGGUAACACUGAAUGGAGGACCGAACCGACUUACGUUGAAAAGUGAGCGGAUGAACUGAGGGUAGCGGAGAAAUUCCAAUCGAACCUGGAGAUAGCUGGUUCUCUCCGAAAUAGCUUUAGGGCUAGCCUCAAGUGAUGAUUAUUGGAGGUAGAGCACUGUUUGGACGAGGGGCCCCUCUCGGGUUACCGAAUUCAGACAAACUCCGAAUGCCAAUUAAUUUAACUUGGGAGUCAGAACAUGGGUGAUAAGGUCCGUGUUCGAAAGGGAAACAGCCCAGACCACCAGCUAAGGUCCCAAAAUAUAUGUUAAGUGGAAAAGGAUGUGGCGUUGCCCAGACAACUAGGAUGUUGGCUUAGAAGCAGCCAUCAUUUAAAGAGUGCGUAAUAGCUCACUAGUCGAGUGACACUGCGCCGAAAAUGUACCGGGGCUAAACAUAUUACCGAAGCUGUGGAUUGUCCUUUGGACAAUGGUAGGAGAGCGUUCUAAGGGCGUUGAAGCAUGAUCGUAAGGACAUGUGGAGCGCUUAGAAGUGAGAAUGCCGGUGUGAGUAGCGAAAGACGGGUGAGAAUCCCGUCCACCGAUUGACUAAGGUUUCCAGAGGAAGGCUCGUCCGCUCUGGGUUAGUCGGGUCCUAAGCUGAGGCCGACAGGCGUAGGCGAUGGAUAACAGGUUGAUAUUCCUGUACCACCUAUAAUCGUUUUAAUCGAUGGGGGGACGCAGUAGGAUAGGCGAAGCGUGCGAUUGGAUUGCACGUCUAAGCAGUAAGGCUGAGUAUUAGGCAAAUCCGGUACUCGUUAAGGCUGAGC